rnacentral:rRNA from 1 species
GACGAACGCUGGCGGCGUGCUUAACACAUGCAAGUCGAACGGAAAGGCCCUGCUUUUGUGGGGUGCUCGAGUGGCGAACGGGUGAGUAACACGUGAGUAACCUGCCCUUGACUUUGGGAUAACUUCAGGAAACUGGGGCUAAUACCGGAUAGGAGCUCCUGCUGCAUGGUGGGGGUUGGAAAGUUUCGGCGGUUAGGGAUGGACUCGCGGCUUAUCAGCUUGUUGGUGGGGUAGUGGCUUACCAAGGCUUUGACGGGUAGCCGGCCUGAGAGGGUGACCGGCCACAUUGGGACUGAGAUACGGCCCAGACCCCUACGGGAGGCAGCAGUGGGGAAUAUUGCACAAUGGGCGGAAGCCUGAUGCAGCAACGCCGCGUGCGGGAUGACGGCCUUCGGGUUGUAAACCGCUUUCGCCUGUGACGAAGCGUGAGUGACGGUAAUGGGUAAAGAAGCACCGGCUAACUACGUG